CCUACGGGAGACUGCAGUGGGGAAUAUUGCACAAUGGGGGAGACCCUGAAGCAGCGACGCCGCGUGAGGGAAGACGUAUUUCGGUACGUAAAGCUCUAUCAGCAGGGAAGAAAAUGACGGUACCUGUCUAAGAAGCCCCGUCUAACUACGUGCCAGCAGCCGCGGUACUACGUAGGGGGCCAGCGUUAUCCGGAUGUACUGGGUGUAAAGGGAGCGUAGACGGCAGCGCAAGUCUGGAGUGAAAUCCCAUGGCUUAACCAUGGAACUGCUUUGGAAACAGUUCAGCUAGAGUGCAGGAGAGGUAAGCGGAAUGCCUAGUGUAGCGGUGAAAUGCGUAGAUAUUAGGCGGAACACCAGUGGCGAAGGCGGCUUACUGGACUGUAACUGACGUUGAGGCUCGAAAGCGUGGGGAGCAAACAGGAUUAGAUACCCCUGUAGUC
rnacentral:rRNA from 1 species